UGAAUUGAAUAGUUCAUACCGUAGACAGUAGGAGCGUUUAAACGCUUAAUUUCCUACCGAGGUUUGUUAAAUGAUGAUCUAAUCACUAUAACAAAAGCCUCCGUGUGUCUGCAUGGAGGCUUUUCCUAUAGAAGG
rfam:Anaerobacillus sp. NB2006 Ga0137927_1001, whole genome shotgun sequence.